UAUUGUUUAGAGCAUGAAUGACAUCUUACUCAGCAGGUUGACUGGCUGUGACUGACUCGGCGUCGGUGGAUUCGCUGAUACAAAUACAAUAUAAAUAGAGCGCCAGUACGUAACUAUCAUCAUUUAGUACUGACCAGGAGCCAAGCCUGACACUUCCAUUCACAUACAUCAUCCCAAAAAACCAAAGACGUCUCUAGUGAAAUCUAGUAGUAAGCUAAACGGGUCAGACUCGACAUAGUGGACCGACGUAACCGCAAGGAAAAAUCAGUUAAUCUUGUGAAGACAGACACGACAGACAGCCGCUAACACGUUAAGAUGAAUAACGUCCUAAUAUCUGUCAUUUUUCUGGUAGUCAUGGUAAUUGGAUACCAUUCAAGUGCCGCAUGGGGUGGAGAUUGCAUGAAGAAAUGUAGUGAAGAAUUCAAUGCGUGUUUUUCUUCUUGUCAAACACCAGACGAUUGUGUUUCAUGCUCGUUUAAAUCAGAGGAAUGUAGAAAUGCUUGUAAUCGAAAAAGAGACAUUGAACGAGAUUUUUGGGAAAAUAUACGAAAGACAAAUAGCCAACAAAAAUGAAUAAAAAAUUGAAGGAAUUAUAUAAAACAAAUUGGUAAAAGUCUACUAUUGUUUUAAAUGUUAUAAAAUUAAAGUAUUUUUAUGUAUAUAGCGCCUUGCUAUGAUUAGAAACAAGCUCAUGAUCAGCGUUUUAUGUAAACCAACGUGGAACUGAGGGAUUGAUACUGUAGAAAAAGAGACAAGAAAGACCCACAUUGCCAUGCGAGAUAAGGUUUUUACAAAUGGAGUAAUAUAUUGAUUGUGCAAACGCUUUGUAUGAGAGAUUCAUUGAAAAAUAAGUAAAAAUUCCUGUGUCGUAGUAGCAGAUAACAA